AAUUCCAGCUCCAAUAGCGUAUAUUAAAGUUGUUGCGGUUAAAACGUUCGUAGUUGAACUUGUGCUUCAUACGGGUAGUACAACUAUAAUUGUAGUUUGUACUGUACCUUAUGUAUGUAAGCGUAUUACCGGUGGAGUUCUUAUAUGUAUUAAAUACUUGUAUUUAUGCAUAUUCCUCCUAUUUAAACCUGCUUCAGUGCUCUUCAUCGAGUGUUGUUGUGGGCCGGUACAAUUACUUUGAACAAAUUAGAGUGCUUAAAGCAGGCUCCAAAUGCCUGAAUAUUUUGUGCAUGGAAUAAUGAAAUAAGACCUCUGUUCUACUUUCAUUGGUUUUUAGAUCAAGAGGUAAUGAUUAAUAGAAGCAGUUUGGGGGCAUUAGUAUUACGACGCGAGAGGUGAAAUUCUUGGACCGUCGUAAGACUAACUUAAGCGAAAGCAUUUGCCAAAGAUGUUUUCAUUAAUCAAGAACGAAAGUUAGAGGUUCGAAGGCGAUCAGAUACCGCCCUAGUUCUAACCAUAAACGAUGCCAGCUAGCAAUUGGGUGUAGCUACUAUCAUGGCUCUCUCAGUCGCUUCCCGGGAAACCAAAGCUUUUGGGCUCCGGGGGAAGUAUGGUUGCAAAGCUGAAACUUAAAGGAAUUGACGGAAGGGCACCACCAGGAGUGGAGCCUGCGGCUUAAUUUG
rnacentral:rRNA from 1 species